CCUACGGGAGGCAGCAGUGGGGAAUAUUGCACAAUGGGGGAAACCCUGAUGCAGCGACGCCGCGUGAGUGAAGAAGUAAUUCGUUAUGUAAAGCUCUAUCAGCAGGGAAGAAAAUGACGGUACCUGAGUAAGAAGCCCCGACUAACUACGUGCCAGCAGCCGCGGUCAUACGUAGGGGGCAAGCGUUAUCCGGAUUUACUGGGUGUAAAGGGAGCGUAGACGGCAGUGCAAGUCUGGAGUGAAAGGCGGGGGCUCAACCCCCGGACUGCUCUGGAAACUGUACGGCUGGAGUGCAGGAGAGGUAAGUGGAAUUCCUAGUGUAGCGGUGAAAUGCGUAGAUAUUAGGAGGAACACCAGUGGCGAAGGCGGCUUACUGGACUGUAACUGACGUUGAGGCUCGAAAGCGUGGGGAGCAAACAGGAUUAGAUACCCCAGUAGUC
rnacentral:rRNA from 1 species